AGGAUGAACGCUGGCGGCGUGCCUAACACAUGCAAGUCGAACGUCCUGUCUCGCAAGAGGCAGGGAGUGGCGGACGGGUGAGUACCACGUGGGUCAUCUACCGUGAGGUGAGGAAUACCGGCGAGAAAUCGCCGACAAGACCGCAUAGGCUCGAUGCAAGUCGAGCAAAGCUCUUUCGAGAGAGGGAGCGCCACACGAGGAGCCUGCGCCCGAUUAGCUAGCUGGUGGAGUAACGGUUCACCAGGGCGACGAUCGGUAGCUGGUCUGAGAGGACGAUCAGCCACACUGGGAUUGAGAACGGCCCAGACUCCUACGGGGGGCAGCAGUGAGGAAUUUUCGUCAAUGGGGGCAACCCUGAACGAGCAACGCCGCGUGCAGGAAGAAGGUUUCGGAUCGUAAACUGCUUUUCUCGGGGAAGAGAACGGACGGUACCCGAGGAAUCAGCCCGGCUAACUACGUGCCAGCAGCCGC
rnacentral:rRNA from 1 species